rnacentral:rRNA from 1 species
UACGUAGGGUGCGAGCGUUGUCCGGAAUUACUGGGCGUAAAGAGCUCGUAGGUGGUUUGUCGCGUUGUUCGUGAAAACUCACAACUCAAUUGUGGGCGUGCGGGCGAUACGGGCAGACUGGAGUACUGCAGGGGAGACUGGAAUUCCUGGUGUAGCGGUGGAAUGCGCAGAUAUCAGGAGGAACACCGGUGGCGAAGGCGGGUCUCUGGGCCGAUACUGACGCUGAGGAGCGAAAGCGUGGGGAGCGAACAGG